UGGCCAGAAGAAGUGGUCACAUUCCCCACUGUGCAGGGCUCUUAAAAAACGACAUUUUUGUAUCCUAGUAGGCCUUUAAAAUGGUCUUUGUACCAGUGUUUCCUGUCAAAGGAAAGUCGGUGAAAAUAUUCAGUCUUUAACCAGGUGCCAAUAAAAUGGGUUCUCAUGCCGAAGCAAAAUAUUAUCCUGUAUUUAAGGAAAUUUUACUUAAACUUUCUUUAAGAAACGCUUAUUAUUUGACGUGGGUUUUUGGCAUUCUUCAAUCUCUAUGAUUACGAAUGUAUGUAUGUGGGAUCCGUGCUGCUUCAAGAGUGUUCUGAUGAGCCAACCUCGUCCCAUUAGGGAUUGCGUUGGGAACAAUAAUCCCAUUGUUUUCCCAGGAAGGGAUGAGAUGCCACUGGCGCACGUCCAUGUCUACGCUAGAUUGCCCCCUUGUACUGGCCGUACGGAAACUAAGUGGCCUCGAAGGCAGAAAGGCUCUGGAUGUCGGCCACCAAUGCCUACCAGGAGGCCAAUAUCGUCUAUCUCGGUCAGGAAGUCCGGAUCCAGGUUGAGUGGCACUAUAAUCUGAUGGGCAGAUGCUGGCCAGUUUAUAUUCUUAUCCACCCGUCGUCCACUUGGUAUACCAAGGGACUGACCAUCACAAGAUGGCUUUUUAUUGGGGGCCAUCAGGGUGUCUAUUAGGUUAUUGAGCCACUCGUCCUCGAUCUGAGCUUCCUGACCCCGGUAGAUUCUAUUGGCCUCGUGGUAGCCAUUGGUGGCGGGUGUCCAGAGCCUUUUCUGGUCAUGGACAAAGGCCCCGAUGAGGGAAUGGGGUGUAUUCUGUGAAUGCACUCGAUAUCCUGAUCGGGGCCUUUGUCCAUUUGCCAGCCUAUGUGCCCCGAUCGGAUCUGAAGUGAACUAGGAUCAGCGAUUCCAAGAGCAGCCUUGGCUCCUGAAGAAGUGUGCACCAAAGGGAGAAUUUUCGAGUCUUCGGGGAACCCUGACGGCCAAAUGGAGGUGGUUCUGGCACCCAGAAGGAUCACUAUGUAUGAACUGCGGGGGGCAGUCUGAAGUACCAAGAAAAUACAAUAGUUUGCUGAAUGAAUCAGAUAAGUGAUUUGAAGUGGACAAAACUGGGACACAAUCUUAUACUUGAAUCUAAUAUGGAGGUCAACACGCAGCCUGAGGAACCCGAGAAAUGAUACAUCGAUCAACUCACCGGCAGAUGGUCCACUUUAUUUCCGAACCGACAAGUUAUAAAUAAAUCAAACCGAGUGCCACAAAUCGCAGA